rnacentral:rRNA from 1 species
GCUUGUCUCAAAGAUUAAGCCAUGCAUGUCUAAGUAUAAGCAAUUUAUACAGUGAAACUGCGAAUGGCUCAUUAAAUCAGUUAUCGUUUAUUUGAUAGUUCCUUUACUACAUGGAAUACCUGUGGUAAUUCUAGAGCUAAUACAUGCUUAAAAUCCCGACUCUUGUGGAAGGGAUGUAUUUAUUAGAUAAAAAAUCAAUGUCUUCGGACCCUUUGAUGAUUCAUAAUAACUUUUCGAAUCGCAUGGCCUUGUGCUGGCGAUGGUUCAUUCAAAUUCUGCCCUAUCAACUUUCGAUGGUAGGAUAGUGGCCUACCAUGGUUUCAACGGGUAACGGGGAAUAAGGGUUCGAUUCCGGAGAGGGAGCCUGAGAAACGGCUACCACAUCCAAGGAAGGCAGCAGGCGCGCAAAUUACCCAAUCCUAAUACAGGGAGGUAGUGACAAUAAAUAACGAUACAGGGCCCAUUCGGGUCUUGUAAUUGGAAUGAGUACAAUGUAAAUACCUUAACGAGGAACAAUUGGAGGGCAAGUCUGGUGCCAGCAGCCGCGGUAAUUCCAGCUCCAAUAGCGUAUAUUAAAGUUGUUGCAGUUAAAAAGCUCGUAGUUGAACCUUGGGCCUGGUUGGCCGGUCCGAUUUUUUUCGUGUACUGUGUUGACCGGGUCUUUCCUUCUGGCUAACCAUUUGUCCUUGUGGCAGAUGGCGAACCAGGACAUUUACUUUGAAAAAAUUAGAGUGUUCAAAGCAGGCGUAAGCUCGAAUAUAUUAGCAUGGAAUAAUAGAAUAGGACGUUUGGUUCUAUUUUGUUGGUUUCUAGGACCAUCGUAAUGAUUAAUAGGGACGGUCGGGGGCAUCAGUAUUCAGUUGUCAGAGGUGAAAUUCUUGGAUUUACUGAAGACUAACUACUGCGAAAGCAUUUGUCAAGGACGUUUUCAUUAAUCAAGAACGAAAGUUAGGGGAUCGAAGAUGAUCAGAUACCGUCGUAGUCUUAACCAUAAACUAUGCCGACUAGGGAUCGGGUGGUGUUUUUUAUUGACCCACUCGGCACCUUACGAGAAAUCAAAGUUUUUGGGUUCUGGGGGGAGUAUGGUCGCAAGGCUGAAACUUAAAGGAAUUGACGGAAGGGCACCACCAGGAGUGGAGCCUGCGGCUUAAUUUGACUCAACACGGGGAAACUCACCAGGUCCAGACACAAUAAGGAUUGACAGAUUGAGAGCUCUUUCUUGAUUUUGUGGGUGGUGGUGCAUGGCCGUUCUUAGUUGGUGGAGUGAUUUGUCUGCUUAAUUGCGAUAACGAACGAGACCUUAACCUACUAAAUAGUGAUGCUGGCUUUUGCUGGUUAUCUACUUCUUAGAGGGACUAUCGGUAUCAAGCCGAUGGAAGUUUGAGGCAAUAACAGGUCUGUGAUGCCCUUAGACGUUCUGGGCCGCACGCGCGCUACACUGACGGAGCCAGCGAGUAUAACCUUGGCCGAGAGGUCUGGGUAACCUUGUGAAACUCCGUCGUGCUGGGGAUAGAGCAUUGCAAUUAUUGCUCUUCAACGAGGAAUUCCUAGUAAGCGCAAGUCAUCAGCUUGCGUUGAUUACGUCCCUGCCCUUUGUACACA